rnacentral:rRNA from 1 species
GAUGAACGCUGGCGGCGUGCCUAAUACAUGCAAGUCGAGCGAACAGACGAGGAGCUUGCUCCUCUGACGUUAGCGGCGGACGGGUGAGUAACACGUGGAUAACCUACCUAUAAGACUGGGAUAACUUCGGGAAACCGGCGCUAAUACCGGAUAAUAUAUUGAACCGCAUGGUUCAAUAGUGAAAGACGGUUUUGCUGUCACUUAUAGAUGGAUCCGCGCCGCAUUAGCUAGUUGGUAAGGUAACGGCUUACCAAGGCAACGAUGCGUAGCCGACCUGAGAGGGUGAUCGGCCACACUGGAACGGAGACACGGUCCAGACUCCUACGGGAGGCAGCAGUAGGGAAUCUUCCGCAAUGGGCGAAAGCCUGACGGAGCAACGCCGCGUGAGUGAUGAAGGUCUUCGGAGCGUAAAACUCUGUUAUUAGGGAAGAACAAAUUUGUAAGUAACUAUGCACGUCUUGACGGUACCUAAUCAGAAAGCCACGGCUAACUACGUG